GACCAUGCGUUUCUGCGUCAUCCACUCUUUGCUCAUCAACACAGAGGAGUUACAGAAGCAGCGGCAAUAGCUUCUCCUACGUUCCCCUCAAGAAGCUUAGCCUAUGCACCAGCCACCUAGCUGCAUUCCAUUCACCAUCCCACCUUUUCUCAUUUUCCCCUUCGCGUCCUUAUCAUGUUAAACCUCGCAAGCCCACCAAAACCCACAUCUUCCUUCCUCAUUUGGUCGCUUCCAUGGAAGUUGAAGAGACCUAUAUCAUGGUCAAGCCUGACGGCGUCCAACGAGGCCUUGUUGGAGAAAUAAUCUCCAGAUUCGAGAAGAAAGGAUUUAAAUUGACUGGCCUGAAGCUCUUCCAAUGCCCUAAAGAAUUGGCAGAGGAACAUUACAAGGAUCUCAAAAGUAGGCCUUUCUUUCCUAAGCUAAUCAAUUACAUCACUUCAGGUCCUGUUGUGUGCAUGGCUUGGGAAGGCGUUGGCGUUGUGGCAUCAGCACGUAAGUUAAUAGGGUCUACAGAUCCUCUGCAAGCUGAACCAGGCACAAUAAGAGGGGA
rnacentral:misc_RNA from 1 species